GAGGCAGCAGUGGGGAAUAUUGGACAAUGGGGGCAACCCUGAUCCAGCCAUGCCGCGUGUGUGAAGAAGGCCUUCGGGUUGUAAAGCACUUUCAGUAGGGAGGAAAAGCUGAUGGCUAAUACCCAUCGGCCCUGACGUUACCUACAGAAGAAGCACCGGCAAACUCCGUGCCAGCAG
rnacentral:rRNA from 1 species